UUAGGAGACCGCACCAAAACGUACCGAAUUGAAUGUGCCUUUUCACAGCCAUUGUACAAGCUUUGAAGCUUUAGCACAAAUGCUUUUUCAAACCCAUGAACAUGAUGCACCCGAGAGAUGCAAGAUAUGAAAUUGUUACUACAACAGGCAUUGAAACAUUUGUUAAGAAAGGAAGUUUAUGAAAAUACGCCUUAACAAUCAUUAGAUACUCGUCUUCAGGAAUCAAUUCCUCUGUAAUAACAAUUUUCAAAAAGCAUCAACUGCUUUAAGCUCCUCAACAUCACAUAGAUCUUCAAUUAAAAUAGGGCAGAUCCGGCCAUCACUAUUCCUUCCACUGCUCUUUUGCUUUAGAGAACGCUUGAAUUACAGAAUGCGUGUAAGGCUCUCUUGUUCAAGGUCCAGCGAUCAAACCUUGCACAAUAACAACAGAGUUAGUAGUUCCAUCGCCAGCCUAAUCCUUGGACUCGCCAAUGUUCUCCAAUUAACAGAGGUAGUAGGAAAUCAACCAAAAAAUAAGAAUGAGUUUGAAAAACUGUUUAUGGCCCUAAAGAACUUGAAAAUCAGAAAUGAUCAAGAAUGAGUGACUAAACAUUUUAAUCGACUAAACAUACAAAACUUGAAAAACCUAAUAUUGAAGUACUCUGAAUGAACAUGCAAUUGCACGAGCUGGUGACAACUGACUUUACUGCAAACCCUUGGAGAUGAUACUCUACAUACCAUGAUAACCUGAUAGCUGAUAUCUCAUGUUUGCAUGUAGUCCAAUGAAAGCAGAAGCACCAUAACCAAGCACAUUAGUACUCACAGAUGGGUUUGCCACAGAUAACCUGUCAGGCAUUAAAAAUUGCCCAAAUUAAACAAAUGUUAGACCGGCUUAGACAGUAAACGGAACAAUAUUCUAAUUUUACUUUAUUUAUAACGAAUAAGUGAACAAAGGAAUGAAAAGGAAGUUUGGCAACAGUCUUUUUACCAGCCAGAUAGUUUGACAAAGAAUCUUGCACUGCUCCUGCAGCUAAUCCCACCAUACACAACUCUGUUCAAAUAUACUGUUUGGGAGCUUUUGUAAUGUAUUUUGCAAGUCAAACAGGAAGGUAUUUCCAUAAGAAGGUUCACUUCACAUGCUCAACAAUUCAAAUUUGCAGAUGAUAUUUCUCAAAAUGAAGGGCUCUAUUUGGCUUGCCAACAAUCUUCCUCACCGCUAUCAUCCUUGCUAUACCGGUUAAACUGAACAGUCUUCAUUCUGACAUUUGCCCUAUUAACCUGAGUACACAAGAAUCCGAAACAACUGUUAGAAAUUAUAAUCUUUAUAUAUAGCCAAAAUGUUGAAUAAGAUGAUGUACUUGAUAAUAAAUACCUGAGUUAAUAAAUAAUUAAGGGGCCGGUAACAAUCUCAGCAUCUUAUCAAGUGGGGAAAGCCUACGCAACGAAGAUGCUGCUUGCUUUCAAGCAGUAAUAACUUUCCAAUUCCAUAAGGUAGCUUAAUGCCCUUUUAAAAAUAUCUCCACCAGCCUAACAAUUAUUCAUGGAAAUUCAAUUUGCAUUUGUCGCCUUCAAUUUGCUCAUCUUUGUCCAGAGUAUUGUUUUUGCAUUUACUUAGCUAGCCUACAAGCCACCUGCAGAUGGUUUUAAAUAAUGUGUGAGAGUGUGAAUUCGAACGAAUUAAUCAAAUAUGAUGACACGAGAAACAAAAUUAAAAUAACCACAAGAAGUAGAAAUAUACUUUUGUUAUAUUUAGUGCAUCUUCUGUGUGUGCUCAAACGCAAUGCCUCAAGGCUCAAGAUAAUUUUAUGACCAUCAAUCUUUUGCCGCCAUAUGCAGACUUGAAACAUUGGCGGUGGUUCUAAGGAACUUGAAAAUUAGAAAAGUUUCAAAAUGAGUGACUAAAUAUGAUAAUCGAAACUAAUUAAAUAUACAUGCCUUGUAAAUAUGAAGCUAAAUUACUCAAAUGUAUGUGCCUCUUCGCAGCAAUUGCUCGUGGUGGAAACUUUACUGCAAAGACUUCCUCAAACCCUUGAAGAUCACACUCUUCCUGGCAACAAAGAAACAGAGACGAUAUACGAAGAUGAUUUUACUAACAAGUGAGAGCUUGCAAAUAUUGGAAGGAUAACGAUUGCUCAUAACCCGAAUCCCCAAUACCCUCUAAUAUCUCACUCGAGUGAGUUCAAGCUCCCAAAAUUCACUACAGUGAAACUCUCAAAACAAAAUUCUCUUCAAAUAUUCUCAACUCAAAUUUGAUGAUGACAUCUCUCGAAGGAAGGCAAAAAAUCUAACACUGAUCAAAUUGGCUUGUGAACAAUUAAUGUUCCUGGCCAUCAUUCAUACUAGGUGUGGCGAACAAUUAAGCUGCUUAGUAUCCUGAACCUGAUAACUUACACAAACAAAAACAACUUGCCUAAAGUUUAAUAUUUAGAGGCAGAACAGUAAAGAAGAAGAUAUAUAUUGAUACUAAAAUUUGACCUGCGUUACCCUGAUGUCAAGAAUAGCAGGAUCUCAUGUGGGCAAAAUCAUCGCAAUACGAGAUGCUUGCAAAAUUGAAGCAGCAUCUUAUCACCUGUAAUUUAAUUAAGAUAAUAACUUUCCCCGACUAUUUCAAUGCAUUAUUGGCAACUAAAUUCAGAGGGCGCUAAUUAAAUACCCUUUUAACAAUAUCUUCUUAUUCUUCUCUAAUCUAGCAGUUAUUUGGAAAAUCUAAAUGACAGUCAUGCAUCAAUGGCGUCAAAAUUUGGCUACAAAGCAGCCUAGAAAAGGCUUCACCCUCAGAAUGAGAGCAUGAAUUCGAAUAAUAUGAUGAAUGAAGAAACAAAGGCAUAAUACCACAAGAAGUCAAACUUUUCCCCAGAGCUCUGUUUCUGUUUGUGCUAAAGCAAAUGGAAACCAGUGGAAAUGAAUUUCUACGAACUAGACAUAUCAGCCAAAACAGGUACUCUGUACAAGCAAAGUAAAAGAGAGUUACAACAAAAUUUAAGAUUGAUAUGAUAAUUAAAAUUUCAGUCACCAUAUAAUUAAUAGAAAACUUUGUACACAAUGAUUUAUUGCAUAUUAAGAUUGGAUAGCUAAAUUUUAAUUGCUAUACAAAAUAUGAUAUUAGCAUUAGGAGACCGCACCAAAACGUACCGAAUUGAAUGUGCCUUUUCACAGCCAUUGUACAAGCUUUGAAGCUUUAGCACAAAUGCUUUUUCAAACCCAUGAACAUGAUGCACCCGAGAGAUGCAAGAUAUGAAAUUGUUACUACAACAGGCAUUGAAACAUUUGUUAAGAAAGGAAGUUUAUGAAAAUACGCCUUAACAAUCAUUAGAUACUCGUCUUCAGGAAUCAAUUCCUCUGUAAUAACAAUUUUCAAAAAGCAUCAACUGCUUUAAGCUCCUCAACAUCACAUAGAUCUUCAAUUAAAAUAGGGCAGAUCCGGCCAUCACUAUUCCUUCCACUGCUCUUUUGCUUUAGAGAACGCUUGAAUUACAGAAUGCGUGUAAGGCUCUCUUGUUCAAGGUCCAGCGAUCAAACCUUGCACAAUAACAACAGAGUUAGUAGUUCCAUCGCCAGCCUAAUCCUUGGACUCGCCAAUGUUCUCCAAUUAACAGAGGUAGUAGGAAAUCAACCAAAAAAUAAGAAUGAGUUUGAAAAACUGUUUAUGGCCCUAAAGAACUUGAAAAUCAGAAAUGAUCAAGAAUGAGUGACUAAACAUUUUAAUCGACUAAACAUACAAAACUUGAAAAACCUAAUAUUGAAGUACUCUGAAUGAACAUGCAAUUGCACGAGCUGGUGACAACUGACUUUACUGCAAACCCUUGGAGAUGAUACUCUACAUACCAUGAUAACC
rnacentral:lncRNA from 1 species